AAUAGAUACCCGGGUAGUCCACGCCGUAAACGAUGAGUGCUAAGUGUUAGGGGGUUUCCGCCCCUUAGUGCUGCAGCUAACGCAUUAAGCACUCCGCCUGGGGAGUACGGCCGCAAGGCUGAAACUCAAAGGAAUUGACGGGGGGCCCGCACAAGCGGUGGAGCAUGUGGUUUAAUUCGAAGCAACGCGAAGAACCUUACCAGGUCUUGACAUCUCCUGACCGCCCUGGAGACAGGGUCUUCCCUUCGGGGACAGGAUGACAGGUGGUGCAUGGUUGUCGUCAGCUCGUGUCGUGAGAUGUUGGGUUAAGUCCCGCAACGAGCGCAACCCUUGUCCUUAGUUGCCAGCAUUCAGUUGGGCACUCUAAGGAGACUGCCGGCUAAAAGUCGGAGGAAGGUGGGGAUGACGUCAAAUCAUCAUGCCCCUUAUGACCUGGGCUACACACGUGCUACAAUGGGCGGUACAGAGGGUCGCGAACCCGCAAGGGGGAGCCAAUCCCAAAAAACCGCUCUCAGUUCGGAUUGCAGGCUGCAACUCG
rnacentral:rRNA from 1 species